CAUCAAGUCUUUCUCUCUCCGAAGCAACAACAAUGGUGUUCGCUUCUUCUUCUCUUAGAAUAUCGUCCUUCUUCUUUGAAUUCGAAACUCAAAUCUAUUCCUCAAACCAAAGAUUGAGAAUUCUCAGUGACUGAUCCAUACAAGUGUGAUUCACGUAGUAGGAGAAGAUUGAGAAUUAUCGUCGUCAAUUCAAUCUUGGUGCCGAACGUGGAGCUCGUACAGGACCCGAUAAUUUCGUUUUUUCCAUCCUCUCUAAGGAUUUUUCAUUCGCCCUGUCCUCCCUCUUUCGAACAACCUCCGACGCAGAGCCGUGUCGUCGGCUUCAACAUCGAUGGUGAUGGUGGCGAUCUCUCCUCUCUCAUCCUGUUCGAAUCUCAUCCUCUCUGCUCUUGUUCGUCUCCCACAUCGUUCGAAGCUCCUCCUCUCUCCUCCUAUUUGAAGUCCGCCGAAGUUCUAUCCAAUAACCGCGAGAAAAACCAAGCACAUGUAUUCAAAUGGGCGGAUAAAGCUAUGUGCGAAGAAAAUCGAGAAAUUAAAUAUCCAAAAUCAAUCAAUCCUUGGUGUGGUGGAUAAAUUGAAGGCCGAAGUGGAGCAAGUGAAAGAAAUACGAGAAAAAAUGGUGGUUGUGAUGGUCUUGUUAGUUAUGUUAUGUUUGUAUUAUUAUUUCAUAUCUGGUUAGUGAAUUUGGAUGUAGUGUUUGUAGUCUUAAUUUUCCUGUGAAAACUAUAGGAUUGAUAUCUUAUACAAGAUAAAAUGGGAAGA